UGGACCCGCGUCUUAUCAGCUAGUUGGUGGGGUAAAAGCCUACCAAGGCGAAGACGGGUAGCCGGCCUGAGAGGGUGAACGGCCACACUGGGACUGAGACACGGCCCAGACUCCUACGGGAGGCAGCAGUGAGGAAUAUUGCGCAAUGGGGGAAACCCUGACGCAGCGACGCCGCGUGGAUGAUGAAGGCCUUCGGGUCGUAAAAUCCUGUCAGAUGGAAAGAAGUGCAUGGUGGCUAAUACCUGCCAUGUUUGACGGUACCAUCGAAGGAAGCACCGGCUAACUCCGUGCCAGCAGCCGCGGUAAUACGGAGGGUGCAAGCGUUGUUCGGAAUUACUGGGCGUAAAGCGCGCGUAGGCGGUUUGCUCAGUCAGAUGUGAAAGCCCAUGGCUCAACCAUGGACGUGCAUUUGAAACUGGCAGACUUGAGUGCAGGAGAGGGCAAUGGAAUUCCAUGUGUAGCGGUAAAAUGCGUAGAUAUAUGGAGGAACACCAGUGGCGAAGGCGGUUGCCUGGCCUGUAACUGACGCUGAGGCACGAAAGCGUGGGGAGCAAAUAGGAUUAGAUACCCUAGUAGUCCACGCUGUAAACGAUGAAUACUAAGUGUUGGAGAAAUUCAGUGCUGCAGUUAACGCAAUAAGUAUUCCGCCUGGGGAGUAUGCACGCAAGUGUGAAACUCAAAGGAAUUGACGGGGGCCCGCACAAGCGGUGGAGUAUGUGGUUUAAUUCGAAGCAACGCGAAGAACCUUACCAAGUCUUGACAUACCGUGCAAAACCCUGGAGACAGGGGAAUAGUUAUGGCGGAUACAGGUGGUGCAUGGUUGUCGUCAGCUCGUGUCGUGAGAUGUUGGGUUAAGUCCCGCAACGAGCGCAACCCUUGUCUUUAGUUACCAUCAUUCAGUUGGGGACUCUAGAGAGACUGCCGGUGAUAAACCGGAGGAAGGUGGGGAUGACGUCAAAUCAUCAUGCCCCUUAUGGCCUGGGCUACAAACGUAAUACAAUGGCGUAUACAAAGGGAUGCGAAAGGGCGACCUGGAGCAAAACUCACAAAGCCGGUCUCAGUUCGGAUUGGAGUCUGCAACUCGACUCCAUGAAGGCGGAAUCGCUAGUAAUCGCGGAUCAGCAUGCCGCGGUGAAUACGUUCUCGGGGUUUGUACACACCGCCCGUCAAACCAUGAGAGUUGGUAAUACCCGAAGUCGCUGAGCUAAC
rnacentral:rRNA from 1 species